AUUGUUUUUCAGCCUUUGGCUAAGAUCAAAGGCAGUAUCUAUUUUUAUCAGUUUUUAAUAUCUGAUACAUCCUCUAUUUGAGGUCUAUAUAUUAAAUGGAUUUUUCAGAAAAGAAAUCAUGGUGAUAAAAGAUAGGCUAGACCUGUGUGGCUGCUCUAUCUCUCUCACUUAGGUGGAUUCCGCACAGCAAUU